GAUUUCAUAAAUAAAAAGAAAAUUUCUUCAAACAUUUUUUUGAGAGGAUUAAUAUUCAACAGCAUAGUGAUUUGCUCAAAGGCAAAAAAAACCUUUUAAGUUCAUUAGACCACAUUCAUUCUGUGUCAGAAACCUAUGCUGUGUCAACUAUUUAACUUUAGAUUUAAAAAGUUUGAAGAAGAAAUCUUUAAUUGAUUUGUAAAAUCUUGGCAUUUGUUUUGUGUAAAAAAAACCCAUGUAAUGUCAAAAAUUUGAUCACAAUCCAAAUUCAGAGCUGUAUCAUGCUUGAAUGUUUUGUCCAUACUUGCCCCAACUGUUCAGGGUUCGACCUCUGCGGUCGUAUAAAGCUGCGCCCUGCGGAGCACCUGGUUGUGACUUAAGAGUAUAAUUGUUAAUUUUUGUAUCAUUGAUAGCUGCUCAUUUUAUUGAAGAUGAUUUGAUUUUUUUUUAUUUAUCAGCUUACAUGUGUAUGAUUUGUUAGCCAUUUGAAUGACUGUAUACAUAUAUACACACAAACACGCACACAUAUAGUUUAAAGGACAUAUUUUAAUACAUUUUUAUUUGAUUAUGUUUAUUACUAACACAUUAUAUGAUAGUAUCAUUAACCUUAUGAUAUAAAACAAUAUUAAGGCUUAUAGAUGAAGAAAUAUCAGAUAGACUGACGCACAACAUAUUCACACAUUCUAUGUGGAAGAUCAUGUGAUGUUUUGGUGAAAUUGUUUAUUGCAGUUAACUCUUAUCUCUAUUCAUUGACACCAUUCUACAAGCUCUCACAGAAACACUAUUAUUAUAACACAAAUAUGCCAGUUGAAUGAUUUAGAUUCCUUGGAACCUUGUCCAUGCUUUUGUAUUCAAAAUCAUUGGAACUACAAAAAGUUUUUAAAACCUCAUUUCAGAAAGGUUAUAACUGAAUUGAAGGAUUGUCAGUAAAACUGUUCAAUCAAAUCACAGCUUUUGAUUUUAAAUGUGGAUUGAAAAGAUGUGAUUGUAUGCAAUUUCUUGAGAGUAAACUUUGCAGCUAUUUUAAUAAAACAAUGUUGGACAUAGAUUUGUGUUAAUUGAAAUUAAAUGCCAGGUUUUGCAUACCAAUCGAUGCAGGAGAAAUUGAGAUGCAAGGAUGAGUGACAAAGAGAAUAUAAGUGGAAUAUGUCUUGCUGCUUAAUAGAUAUGUUAAUGUUUAUGUAGGGAAUACAAUGAUGUGUUUUUGUAAUAUUACUUAAAUUUAGACAGAAUGGUAUAUGUUUAAUGGUUUGGGUAAUAUUGUUUUGAAAGUUAUAUAUAUGAUUGAUUUAUAAAGUGAUAUAAUGAAUUCCAUGCAGUUUAAUCAGUUAUUAAAUGAUUUGUAUAAGUAUA
rnacentral:lncRNA from 1 species